GAUGAACGCUAGCGGCAGGCCUAACACAUGCAAGUCGAGGGGUAACUAGAGUGAUAGCAAUAUUACUUUGGCUUGACCGGCGCACGGGUGCGUAACACGUAUGCAACCUACCUUAUACUGGGGAAUAACUUCGAGAAAUCGGCGCUAAUACCCCAUAACAUUGCGAAGAGGCAUCUCUUUGCAAUUAAAGCUCCGGCGGUAUAAGAUGGGCAUGCGGGCAAUUAGCUAGUUGGUGAGGGAACGGCUCACCAAGGCUACGAGUGGUAGGGGUUCUGAGAGCAUGAGCCCCCACACUGGUACUGAGACACGGACCAGACUCCUACGGGAGGCAGCAGUGAGGAAUAUUGCGCAAUGGACGAAAGUCUGACGCAGCCAUGCCGCGUGCAGGAUGACGGCCCUAUGGGUUGUAAACUGCUUUUGUACGGGAAUAAACCCUUCUACGUGUAGGAGGCUGAAGGUACCGUAAGAAUAAGCACCGGCUAACCCCGUGCCAGCCGCCGCCGUAACAC
rnacentral:rRNA from 1 species